AGCGAUUUAGAGCGACAGUCAAA
rnacentral:snRNA from 1 species